CUACGGGUGGCUGCAGUCGAGAAUCUUCGGCAAUGGACGAAAGUCUGACCGAGCGACGCCGCGUGCGGGAUGAAGGCCUUCGGGUUGUAAACCGCUGUCAGUUGGGAGGAAAUCACAUGGGGUUCUCUCCAUGUGUUGACCUAUCUUCAGAGGAAGGACGGGCUAAGUUCGUGCCAGCAGCCGCGGUAAGACGAACCGUCCAAACGUUAUUCGGAAUCACUGGGCUUAAAGGGUGCGUAGGCGGCCUUGUAAGUUGGGUGUGAAAUCCCUCGGCUCAACCGAGGAAUUGCGCCCAAUACUGCAGGGCUAGAGGGAGACAGAGGUGAGCGGAACUUGUGGUGGAGCGGUGAGAUGCGUUGAUAUCACAAGGAACACCUGUGGCGAAAGCGGCUCACUGGGUCUCUUCUGACGCUGAGGCACGAAAGCUGGGGGAGCGAACGGGAUUAGAUACCCUUGUAGUC
rnacentral:rRNA from 1 species